GUUUGAUCCUGGCUCAGGACGAACGCUGGCGGCGUGCUUAACACAUGCAAGUCGAACGGUGACGAGGAGCUUGCUCCUCUGAUCAGUGGCGAACGGGUGAGUAACACGUGAGCAACCUACCCUUGACUCUGGGAUAACAGUUGGAAACAGCUGCUAAUACCGGAUACGACCCCGACAGGCAUCUGCCGGGGUGGAAAGCUCCGACGGUCAAGGAUGGGGCUCGCGGCCUAUCAGCUUGUUGGUGAGGUAACGGCUCACCAAGGCGACGACGGGUAGCCGGCCUGAGAGGGCGACCGGCCACACUGGGACUGAGAUACGGCCCAGACUCCUACGGGAGGCAGCAGUGGGGAAUAUUGCACAAUGGGCGCAAGCCUGAUCCAGCCAUGCCGCGUGUGUGAAGAAGGCCUCGGGUUGUAAAGCACUUUAAGCGAGGAGGAAGGUCAUCAUACUAAUACUAUGGUGAAUUGACGUUACUCGCAGAAUAAGCACCGGCUAAC
rnacentral:rRNA from 1 species